rnacentral:misc_RNA from 1 species
UAUAUUGUACGUCGAGGACGACGACGACGACGACGCCGCCACCGCCGCACACGUCGAAGUCAGACGCGUCUCACUUUUCCCGCACUCUCACCGUCGCUCGCUCGCUCUCGGACGUCCGGACGUCUUCGUCGUCUCUCCCGCACACGCGUCUUACUCUACUUGCCCUGUCACUGUCUCUUUUUUUCUAUUUGAUUUUUCUUCGUUUCGUAUUUUACGUUUUUUUUUCGUUUUAUAGUCGACCGACCGAAAAUGCGUUUGCUGACAGUUGAUUCCGUAGUUCGCCGUGCCGGUACUUGUGCGUUUGGAAAAUGCCACUGAACUUGGGCAGUUCUCGACGGACUGCGAGUUGCGAGUCAACAAUCAUAAUUCAUAAUAUUAUUUUAGCUUGUCAGCUGUUUUUUUGGCUGUACUUAACAAUAUAUUUUUACAUGACUUUAUUGUUUUAGUUUUCAUUUAUUUUAUUUGUUUACUGAAAACAAAAAACAACUAGUCAACAAAUCUAUAAAGAAUAAUAAUUAUCAAUAUGAUGCAAAACGGAAUGGAUUCACUACCACAUAAUGGUUCAAUACAUACCUCAAGUACAAAUUCUCAUGCAUCACAAGGAAAUUCUUUGAAUGAAGAAAGUAAAACCAACCUUAUUGUAAAUUACUUACCUCAAACAAUGACUCAAGAAGAAAUUAGAUCAUUAUUUUCUUCAAUUGGUGAAGUUGAAAGCUGUAAACUUAUUAGAGAUAAAGUCACAGGAUCUCUUCCAUCAGGUCAAAGUUUGGGUUAUGGUUUUGUUAACUAUCAUCGACCAGAAGAUGCAGAAAAAGCAAUUAAUACAUUAAAUGGACUAAGACUACAAAAUAAAACAAUUAAGGUAUCUUUUGCAAGACCUAGUAGUGAAGCAAUUAAAGGGGCUAAUUUAUAUGUGAGUGGUCUUCCAAAACAUAUGACUCAACAAGACCUUGAAAAUUUAUUUAGUCCAUAUGGUCGGAUAAUAACAUCAAGAAUUUUAUGUGAUAAUAUGACUGAUAUGUUCACAGUUCGACAAUUUGUGGGAAAUACAGGAGGAGAUCAUUCGCCGUCAAUUUCAAAAGGUGUUGGUUUUAUAAGAUUUGAUCAAAGAAUUGAAGCCGAACGAGCAAUUCAAGAAUUAAAUGGAACUGUUCCCAAAGGUUCAACAGAAUCAAUUACUGUGAAGUUUGCCAACAAUCCUAGUAGCAAUAAAGCAGUACCUGCAUUGGCAGCUUAUUUAACUCCUCAAGGAGCUCGAAGGUUUGCUGCUGGCCCUAUUCAUCACCCUACUGGGCGCUUCAGGUAUAUUCCACUCUCCCCUUUAUCCAGCACUGGAAAGACCAUGCUAGCCAUAAACAAAGGCUUACAGAGAUAUUCACCAUUAGCGGGUGAUCUGUUAGCAAACUCUAUGUUACCUGGUAAUUCAAUGAAUGGAUCUGGCUGGUGCAUAUUCGUGUAUAACUUGGCGCCAGAAACAGAGGAAAAUGUAUUGUGGCAACUAUUUGGUCCAUUUGGUGCUGUACAAAGUGUAAAAGUUAUUAGAGAUUUACAAACAAACAAAUGCAAAGGAUUUGGAUUUGUCACUAUGACUAAUUAUGAUGAAGCAGUUGUUGCCAUUCAAUCUCUUAAUGGAUAUACGUUAGGCAAUCGCGUACUUCAAGUAUCUUUCAAAACCAAUAAAGGCAAAGGAGAUGCAUCCAGUUUGUUAAUGUCUCUUGCUGAUUCAUUAACUGACUGUUAAUAAUUUCAUCAAUCUUCUUCGAAUAUUUUCAAAUGUUUACAUAAUUCAUUCUCCCUUCUAAUACAUCUUUAACUGAAUUGCAAAUUCGCUGAUAUUUAUCAUGUCUAAAGAAGGUAAAUAUCAUAUUUACCGAUUUACAUAAAAUGUCCAUGAGAAGCUAUUUGUAAGUCAAUGUAAUAUUUUUACUUUUUUACUCAUUCUUAUAAUGCCGUUAGGUACAAGAAAAAACAAUACAUUUUAUGUACUUAAUAAUAAAUAAUCUUAUCUUCCCCCCUCCAUCCACAAUAAAAGACAAUUUCUGAUACAAUUUCAUAUUUUUUCAACUUAUUUUAUUGUUAAAUAUUUUUGAGUGAAAGUUGUUACCAACAGUUGAGAAUAUAACAAUGUAAUGAUUAAGAAGUAUUGAAAGAACUAUUAUUCAUAGAAAACUUGUUCAUUUUGCAUUUAUUAAUAAUUCUGAAAGAAUCCAGUCAAUUUCUAUAACGUACCUAUGUAAUAUUAAGAACAUAUUUGUUUGUUUAUUUGUUGCUUGCAUGCAGUUGUGCAAGUAUAUAACCAAAUUAUUUGAUUUGUUUUUACUUGCACGUUAACCGGUGUGAUUAUUGAUCUCAAUGAACAGUAUUCAACACUGUUUAAAAACAAUAACAUAUAAAUCUAAUUAGUACUGAUCGUAGUACAUAAUGUAAUAAAGGGUGGACUUAUUGGAGAUUAUUUAACAAAAGUUAAUUACUUAAUUUAAAACCACAGGGUAAUUUUAUGAAGUCAAGUUUAAUACAAAAACAAAAUUCCAUCAAUUAAAACUGGAUAUUUUUAAUGCUAUAUUUAUUUAAUAAAAAUCCUGGAUUACAAUAGUUCUAACCAUAAAUAAUAUUUAUACA